rnacentral:sRNA from 1 species
AAAAUGCUUAAAUGUCAAGUAAUUAUCAAAAAGAGUAAACAAUUAUACAUAAUUGAAAUUCAAUGACAACUGCAACAUGAAUUAUUUAUUGGAAAUGUUGAGAGGAAAAGUACUUCGGGGAUUUGAGUGAAUUUGGUGAAUUUUAAAUGAUUUAUAAGCCCUAGUUAGUUAUUCUGUUAUUCCCAGAUUUUAACUAACAUAUAAUCCUUAAACUUUAUAUUUUCCUCAACCGAUUUUAACUUUAAAAUAUAUCGGGUGAGGAAAAUAUAAACUUUAAAAUAUUUCCAUGGUUUUUGUCUAAGAUUAUUGAUAGUUUUAUUGGAUCCCUUUGGUUAGUAAUUAGCAGGCUGUAUAACUGACCUGUUAGAUAAGUUACAUUCCUUUUUAAUAGAAGAUCGGAUUAACUAUAAACUACCUAUACACAGUUUGGUUAUGGGAUGACUUAACUGCUCUAAUGAGAGGCUAAGUUAUGAUUUAUGGUCGGACAUCCGAUUUGUUUAAUUAUAAUGAUACAGCAACAAUGAAAUAUUUGAA